AAAUAGCAUGCAAUAAUAUCAUACAGUAACUACCAUAAAUAACUACCAUAAGGAGACACAAGCCAAAACACAAAUCAUCUAUGGAUAGCCCUGCCAAGCCUCACCCAACCCCCGGUGAGGAGUACGAAAAACUCUAGGAGCCCCCCUAUCCUACAAUCCUGAUUCUAGACCUCCAGACUUUCCUAUUAAGGGUCAUGUCCUCGGAAACCUGCAUUCUAGCCAUGUCAUGCCUAAUCACCUCUCCCCAAUACCUCUUAGGUCUCCCUCUGUCUCGCCGUACGCCGACCAUCGUCAGCCGCUCACAACUCCUCACUGG
rnacentral:lncRNA from 1 species